ACAGGGGUGGGAUCCUCCUGGGAUCUCCGCCCUCUCCUGCACGCACCUGAAUCAAUCAAGCACCUGUGGAUCAUCUGACAAUCAGCUAUUUGUUGUUUAAGCUGGGACCUGACGGUCAGUCUUCACCUGAGUGUUGGCUAACUGUGGUAGUCUUCACCUUGGUGUUCUGCUUCACAGGGAGUGUCAUGGUGCUGUCUUCCACAGAUUGCUCUCUUUCUGCAUUCAAAAAAACUCCAGCUACGAGCCCGUGCAUCACCCUGGGGCUCUGCGGCCUCACAACACCUGACUCUGCUGGGCAAAUAGCCAGGCAGUAACCUGGAUCCUGGACCUUUAGAUCAGGCUGGUUUUUUCCAAUAUUUAAUCAGUCUCUUUCACCAUAUUGAUCACCCCCUCCGCUCUACGAGUAAUCACCAGCUGGCAGCGAAGAGGGGAUGACAGCAGUUCUUGCAUUCUGCAUAUGGAUGAGAUUUAAUCUGUCUGCCAUCUCCAACUGGAAGUGUUAUCUGGCGGCCGGGGGGCACAGGAGCGGAAAUGACUUGUUCUGUUCAAUCACUGUUCUCUCUGAAACCAGGUCUUUUGGACAGAACCAAGAGCUAAAAGAUUUAGCUUUUUACAGACGCUCACACAAGGAGGAGGCCGCCGCUUUGAUGAGCCUGAUCCACUUUGAGUUUCAAGGCAACAGCCUUAUCUCUGGCUCUGCUUCAUUUUCCGAGUGACAGAGAUAAUUUUUUUCAGUGUUUCAAGUUGCUGGAUCACCCUUGACAUUGCAGUUCUGCAGAGCGAGCUUGACACCCACUCUCCGGCUGGCAGUCUGCAGAGAGUCGCAUGAUGAAAACAGCUCAGACACAAAUGUGACACCCCAUGUGCUCUCUGACACUGGAUCGAAUGUAUUUCUUUCCUGCGACACUAAAGGAGCUUGUUAAAGUAAAGCUUCUCUGCGGGGAGAUCCAUUGAACAUUCAGACUGUUUGCCAAGUUCAUUUAAGAUUCUGUCUGUGCGUUUCAACUUCAAAAAGAAAUUCUGGACCAAUCCACAGCACACCCACCAAUCACUGUCAAAUCCUCCCUUGCUUCUCUUUGCACGACAGCUCUGGAGAUCUCUUCUCUGUCUCCCUCCUAGAUUUGGAUGGAAGCGUGAUUAUGGUCUUCUCUGAGUGGCAGCAUCAAUUUUACGCAGUAGAUCUUCAGAGCACAGAAGAUUAAUUGCCCCACUUUGUCCUCUUGUUACCUUUUGAGUUACACAAUUUCAACUUUGUUUAGUUUCAUGGAUGUCAAAGCAAAAGUCUCUUGGCCUCUGUUAACGAUGGACUUUUCUCUCUCUUCUCUCUUCUCCUCACAGCAAUGCUGCUGGUGUAAUCACUAUUGUCUAAUCAAAACAUUUCAGUAGCUGUGUGAACAUUUAGCUAGAGUGCAUUAUUUAGUGCGGGCGGAUGUUCUCUUCUUCUGUGCAAUGUGGCCUGUACACUGGAGGCAAACAAAACAAGAGCAAGAUGUAAAACAGCAUUGUUGCCUUUAUAGUUUGUUGUUAUAUAAAAUCGGAGCUCAGUGCUAAAUCAGACAGUAGACAUGGAUGCGUAUUAUUAAAACUGAAGGCGUGACAGUUACUCUCAUCCACUGGCAUAAGAAGCCUUGUGGCUUGUUUGAAACAUGCUGUCAACUCGGAUGUGAUUGGUUGGUUUGUUUAAUCUCAUCACAUCGCCCCCCUCUGACACCAGCUCUCUUAUUCUACCACACACAUCCUCCAUUUGCACCCCAAAUGUUGUCUUUCUCACCAUCUGACAUUGACGCGUAAUUCAAGUGUGACAUGAGCGUCACUUCUGCUGUGUCAAGUUUUAAAUUAACACGGUUGCAUACUUUGACUGCUUGUAGAAGUGAUCAAAGGCUACGUACCUCAACAAUUUUUCGCUUAGUGGUUUAACAAGCACUUAGAUUCUUUACAUAAGGAGAGUAAUUUAAAAUAAAAAUGUUCAGUAUACAAUAUCACCAGUAUGGGCUCUGAUAGUAUUCUAUGCAU